UUCCGGUUGAUCCUGCCGGAGGUCACUGCUAUCGGGGUUUGAUUAAGCCAUGCGAGUCGAGAGGGUUCAGACCCUCGGCGGACUGCUCAGUAACACGUGGAUAAUCUGCCCUAUGGUGGAGGAUAACCCCGGGAAACUGGGGAUAAUACUCCAUAAGUCAGGAGUACUGGAAUGUCUCCUAACUGAAAGUUGCGGCGCCAUAGGAUGAAUCUGCGGCCGAUUAGGUAGUUGUUGGGGUAACGGCCCAACAAGCCCGUAAUCGGUACGGGUUGUGGGAGCAAGAGCCCGGAGAUGGAAUCUGAGACACGAUUCCAGGCCCUACGGGGCGCAGCAGGCGCGAAAACUUUACAAUGCAGGAAACUGUGAUAAGGGAAACCCCGAGUGCCCGUACACGCGGGCUGUCCCGGUGUUUAAAACACAUCGGAAGAAAGGGCCGGGCAAGACCGGUGCCAGCCGCCGCGGUAAUACCGGCGGCUCGAGUGGUGACCACUUUUAUUGGGCUUAAAGCGUUCGUAGCUUGAUUUUUAAGUCUCUUGGGAAAUCUCACGGCUUAACUGUGAGGCGUCUAAGAGAUACUGGGAAUCUAGGGACCGGGAGAGGUAAGAGGUACUUCAGGGGUAGAAGUGAAAUUCUGUAAUCCUUGAGGGACCACCGAUGGCGAAGGCAUCUUACCAGAACGGCUUCGACAGUGAGGAACGAAAGCUGGGGGAGCGAACGGGAUUAGAUACCCCGGUAGUCCCACCCGUAAACUAUGCGCGUUAGGUGUGCCUGUAACUACGAGUUACCGGGGUGCCGAAGUGAAAACGUGAAACGUGCCGCCUGGGAAGUACGGUCGCAAGGCUGAAACUUAAAGGAAUUGGGCGGGGGAGCACCACCACGGGUGGAGCCUGCGGUUUAAUUGGAUUCAACGCCGGG
rnacentral:rRNA from 1 species